UACGGGGGGGGCAAGCGUUGUUCGGAAUUACUGGGCGUAAAGGGUUUGUAGGUGGCCUGCUAAGUCAGACGUGAAAUCCCUCAGCUUAACUGGGGAACUGCGUCUGAUACUGGCGAGCUUGAGUGCAGGAGAGGAACGCAGAAUUCCAGGUGUAGCGGUGAAAUGCGUAGAUAUCUGGAGGAAUACCGGUGGCGAAGGCGGCGUUCUGGACUGCAACUGACACUGAUGAACGAAAGCCAGGGGAGCAAACGGG
rnacentral:rRNA from 1 species